rnacentral:rRNA from 1 species
AGUGAACGCUGGCGGUAGGCCUAACACAUGCAAGUCGAACGGCAGCACAGUAAGAGCUUGCUCUUACGGGUGGCGAGUGGCGGACGGGUGAGGAAUACAUCGGAAUCUACUUUUUCGUGGGGGAUAACGUAGGGAAACUUAUGCUAAUACCGCAUACGACCUACGGGUGAAAGCAGGGGAUCUUCGGACCUUGCGCGACUGAAUGAGCCGAUGUCGGAUUAGCUAGUUGGCGGGGUAAAGGCCCACCAAGGCGACGAUCCGUAGCUGGUCUGAGAGGAUGAUCAGCCACACUGGAACUGAGACACGGUCCAGACUCCUACGGGAGGCAGCAGUGGGGAAUAUUGGACAAUGGGCGCAAGCCUGAUCCAGCCAUACCGCGUGAGUGAAGAAGGCCUUCGGGUUGUAAAGCCCUUUUGUUGGGAAAGAAAAGCAGCAGGUUAAUACCCCGCUGUUCUGACGGUACCCAAAGAAUAAGCACCGGCUAACUUCGUG